rnacentral:rRNA from 1 species
UGACCGUACUAAAACUGACACAGGUAGGCGAGAUGAGUAGUCUCAGGCGCUCGGGAGAACGGUGGUUAAGGAACUCUGCAAAAUGGCUCCGUAAGUUCGCGAUAAGGGGCGCCUACGUAAGUAGGCCACAGAAAAUCGGCACUAGCGACUGUUUAUCAAAAACACAGGUCUCUGCCAACUCGUAAGAGGACGUAUAGAGACUGACGCCUGCCCGGUGCUGGUAGGUUAAGGAAGGCGGUUAGCAUCUUCGGAUGCGAAGCUGGCGACCGAAGCCCCAGUAAACGGCGGCCCUAACUAUGAGGGUCCUAAGGUAGCGAAGUUCCUUGUCGGGUAAGUUCCGACCUGCAUGAAAGGCGUAACGACUGGUGCACUGUCUCAACCACCGACCCCGGUGAAAUUGUAGUCGUGGUGAAGAUGCCACGUACCCGCGGUUAGACGGAAAGACCCCAUGAACCUUCACUGUAGGCUGAUAUUGGGCUGAGGUAU